GCAGUGGUGGUUCAGUGGUAGAAUUCUCAUCUUCCAGGCAGGAGGCUUGGGUUUGAUUCUCAGCCAAUGCA
rnacentral:tRNA from 1 species